rnacentral:rRNA from 1 species
GACGAACGCUGGCGGCGUGCCUAAUACAUGCAAGUAGGACGCAGUUGCGAACGGGUGAGUAACGCGUAGGUAACUGCCUAUUAGAGGGGGGUAACUAUUGGAAACGAUAGCUAAUACCGCAUACUAGUAGAUGGACCUGCGUUGGAUGAGCUAGUAGGUAGGGUAAUGGCCUACCUAGGCGACGAUACAUAGCCUACCUUGUAGGGUGAUCGGCCACACUGGGACUGGGAACCGGCCCAGAAUCCUACGGGAGGCAGCAGUAGGGAGUCUUCGGGAAUGGGGGGAACCCUGACCGAGCAACGGCGCGUGAGUGAAGAAGGUUUUCGGAUCGGAAAGCUCUGUUGUUAAGGAAGCGGUACUUAACCAGAAAGGGACGGCUAACUACGUGCCAGCAGCCGCGGUAAUUC